rnacentral:tRNA from 1 species
GGUCGGCUGGCCUAAUGGUAAGGCAUCCGUUUCCGGUGCGGAAGAUUGCAGGUUCGAGCCCUGCGUCGAUCG